rnacentral:rRNA from 1 species
UACGAAAGGUGCAAGCGUUAAUCGGAAUUACUGGGCGUAAAGCGCGCGUAGGCGGCUUGGUAAGUUGGAUGUGAAAGCCCCGGGCUCAACCUGGGAACUGCAUCUGAUACUGGUCAUCUAGAGUUUAAGAGAGGGAAGUGGAAUUCCAGGUGUAGCAGUGAAAUGCGUAGAUAUUCGGAGGAACACCAGUGGCGAAGGCGGCCCCCUGGACAAAGACUGACGCUCAGGUGCGAAAGCGUGGGGAGCAAACAGG